UGGAAUGUCUUAUAAAUGUAAAAAUCAUUUAGUACAAACCCAACAGAAAAUGAAAUAGUUUGCACAAAAUGCCCCUCACAAUCACCUAGUUUAGAUAGAGGCUAGGGGAAAGAAGUGUUUUCCACACAGGAGAAAGAGACUUAAAAGUACUUCUGGUGCACAUUCAUGGCACGGAAAAUGAUGCAUUCUAGUUGCUUGAAGAUUUGUACAGAUACCUAACGACGCUUCUUCCUCUUCUUGGUUGAAACAUCUUCAAGUCCCUCGAAAUUUUCUUCACCGAUGUCAGACUUUGUCAGUUUGUAAGCAACAACCUGCCAGAAUUGAGGAAUAAUUUCCUGAUACAAAUGAAAAAUGUGAACAAAAGAUUAAGCAUACUAAAGUGAUGAAAAAGAAUUUUCCAUUUUCCAAUUUGAAAAAUGUGAACAAAAGAUUAAGCAUACUAAAGUGAUGAAAAAGAUUUUAAAAAACAUAGAACAAGAAAAAAAAACAUACAUCGUCAAAGUCCUUCAUGUUCUUCCCAUCCCAGAUAUCCAUGUACAUAAUAGCAUACAGAGCACAAUUGUUGCUGUACAAGUUUACAUGAAAAAUCAGUAAAAAGAAUUGCUUGUUUGAAAAUGAGUUAUAAAUAAAAUGCACUCAUUGGGAUGAAGUAUAAUAAUGCUUGUUUAACUCACAGGUUGUUUUGCUGGGGGUAGUUCUCAGGUGAAAUGCACUCAAAAGUCUCAACAUUCUUGGACGUGGAACCAAAACACUUGAAAAGGAUGCUCAUGUUGAGGAUCUAUUUUAAAGGAAGUUGGAUUGUUCAACAAGUGCAAUACUUACAUAAAAAUGAAGAAAAACUAAAUUAUCUGGAAACUAUAAUUAUAUGGAGUUAGAAGGUAAUAAUGUGACAGGACAAGUAUCACAAAACUGUUUGUGCAUCCACUUGAUUGGUUAUUCCUCAAACCUUAAACUUAGAGAAGAAAAUCAUGUGAACUUCCCAGGACAUCUCCACAAGUGGAUGCCGAUUUGCUAUCUUCUGUUCCCUAAAUUCUGGUCCGGCAAACCACUUUAUUUUUCUUAAUUACUAGCAAAUCAGAAGAAGCUACACUGACGACACCAAAGCAGACCAAUACUACUUGUGGAGCAGAGCAAUACAUCCUAACAAGUCAAACCAAUUACUACAUGAUGCUCCUACACCUUACAGAAACUAAGAGAACAUAUAAAACAAAGUAGAGAAGAACUUCUCCAACAUGCUACACAAACGCCAUAUCAACAACAAAAAGCCCCGGGCAAAGCACUACCACCUAUCAUCAUCAUGCUGCAUCAAGCCCGAAAAUCUAAUCUCUUAAACAAUCCCCCUAGUCCACACUCAGAUUCACCAAAUCAAAACUGCCCCUGUACAACACCGCGUUCGUCAAACCCUAGAAUCACUGGAGAAGGCACUAACAUAACUAAAUACACCCGAUCUCGCGGUACCAAUCGAAGAGAAGGAACACAUUGCGGGGAAUUGGGGCCGUUACCUUUCAAGAUGACGAACUUGACGAAGUCCAAUUCGACGUCGAGCUUGACGAAGCCCUAGAAGACGCAGACCUUCACGGGACCGUACACGCCGCAGACCUUCAAGGAACCCUAGAAGCCGACGAAUACAUUGGCCACCUGCAAAAAAAACAUCCAUCCAGACGACGUCAGCCAGAUCCGAUCGGCGAUGCCGCAGACGAAUUGGGGGCGGGCAGAGUGGGGAAGAGGGUCGUCGAUUGCUCAGGAGGGGCGCGGUGUUUUCCCGGAGGAAGAAGCAGAUGAAGAACGAGGAAGGGGGAUCCGGCAGGAGAAGCAGAAGAAAAG
rnacentral:lncRNA from 1 species